GGGCGAGUAAUCAUGCUCGGAUGAAUCAAAUACGGAAUCAAUAACUCCCGAACCUACCGCGUUUUACACUUUGAGCCCGAACGCUGAAAUCGCCGUCCAUCUUGUCUCCCGAUUUUUAAAGCCACGAGUAGUGCCACGUCAGCCUGCUACCACCGUUCGUCCUGAAUGAAGCUCGGCCCGAACGCCCCUCCCUCUCACUCUCUCAGCGGACCUUAUCCUAUCCGUUCCCCUCCCCACCUUGCUCGCCGCCGCACAAAUCGACACCAUAGCCGCCGCUAACCAUGCGCCAUAUCCGGCCACCGCAAUGCAACUGCGUGCCGUCGCCUUCGUACAACAUCUCCCGCCCGACGACCAUUGCCUCCGCCGCGCAGCAAGAAGCCACACAGUUCCCGCGGCGGCCUCGCGGGGAGGAGCACGGCAGGCCCUGGCAGCGGCCUCGUGUGCGGGUCAGGGCACCACACCAGGGAGACGGGUCUCGCCCUCCACGGGAUCCCGAUGCGGGGUGGAGUCGCGGUGGAGGUGCUGCUCGUGGGGGGAACGAUGGCCUGCCUCGCGCGAGUGCGGUGGUGAGGAUGUGGGAUGGCUGCGGCGGGCGGCUACGUAGCGGGUGGCAAUGGAAGCUGCCGAGUCGCGACACUAGAGGGGGAGGGAGCGGCUAGUGAUGGGGGCGAGGGCUGGGGGUUCUCCUCGUCUCACGCGGUCGCUGAGGGAAGCCAGCGGCUACUUCUGUUUCCGUUGGCAGCCGCUCCCGUUUCUGAUAUGAGUGGAUCCUGCUCCCGCUCGCCCCUGGUCAACCUCCUGCGUCGGCGCGCCACUGUCGCCUCCGCCGACUCCACCCAUGGGUGGAGGAGAUGGCCGAAUCGGCCGCCGUGACGUGCAAGCGCGGCCUGCUCCUGCACAACCACCAGCGCCAGUGGAGGAGCUGCAGCGGGGAGGUGUUCAUCUACUCUUUUUUGUCACUGGAAUAAGGCAAUGACGUUUCUGGGCUUGCCCCAUUUUUGGGCUGGUCCGCUGGAGGGGAAGAGCCAGAUCGUUGUCCCUGCUAGCGACAAGUUUAUCUGAAGUGGGAUGGUUCGGGCUAGAGGGGUACUUCUACCGAACGAGUUCGUUCGUUCCAGCGACUCUCCCAGCACGAACGACUCGUUCGGGCUGGGGUAUCCUCAAGCCGAUCGUUCGGUAGUUAUCGAUGUCCAUCAAAUAUGUUUGCAUAAAAGAACUAGGACAGAUAUCACCUGAUUGUUUUUUGGGUAACCCGACGUGUGAUAGAUCCAUGUGGCCUAUUGAUGCAAACCGACAGCGUGUUUCGCCCA